rnacentral:misc_RNA from 1 species
GAUGAAGAACGCAGCGAAAUGCGAUAGGUAAUGUGAAUUGCAGAAUUCAGUGAAUCAUCGAGUCUUUGAACGCACAUUGCGCCCCCUGGUAUUCCGGGGGGCAUGCCUGUCCGAGCGUCAUUGCUGCCCUCAAGCACGGCUUGUGUGUUGGGCCCCGCCCCCCGGCUCCCGGGGGGCGGGCCCGAAAGGCAGCGGCGGCACCGCGUCCGGUCCUCGAGCGUAUGGGGCUUCGUCACCCGCUCCGUAGGCCCGGCCGGCGCCCGCCGGCGACCCCCCUCAAUCUUUUCAGGUUGACCUCGGAUCAGGUAGGGAUACCCGCUGAACUUAAGCAUAUCAAUAAGCGGAGGA